rnacentral:rRNA from 1 species
AAUAGAUACCCUGGUAGUCCACGCCGUAAACGAUGAGUGCUAAGUGUUAGAGGGUUUCCGCCCUUUAGUGCUGCAGCUAACGCAUUAAGCACUCCGCCUGGGGAGUACGGCCGCAAGGCUGAAACUCAAAGGAAUUGACGGGGGCCCGCACAAGCGGUGGAGCAUGUGGUUUAAUUCGAAGCAACGCGAAGAACCUUACCAGGUCUUGACAUCCUCUGACAACCCUAGAGAUAGGGCUUUCCCCUUCGGGGGACAGAGUGACAGGUGGUGCAUGGUUGUCGUCAGCUCGUGUCGUGAGAUGUUGGGUUAAGUCCCGCAACGAGCGCAACCCUUGAUCUUAGUUGCCAGCAUUCAGUUGGGCACUCUAAGGUGACUGCCGGUGACAAACCGGAGGAAGGUGGGGAUGACGUCAAAUCAUCAUGCCCCUUAUGACCUGGGCUACACACGUGCUACAAUGGAUGGUACAAAGGGCUGCAAACCUGCGAAGGUAAGCGAAUCCCAUAAAAGCCAUUCUCAGUUCGGAUUGCAGG